rnacentral:lncRNA from 1 species
GUAAGUCUGCUCCUUCCCCUCUCCGACAUCUGGCCCCUCGUCCACUAUCUUAGCCAGCAGGUUCGGGACCCCAUGCUCCUUGAGGGGUCCGAACUGUGAUGGGGAAGCCGCGCUGAAACAGCGGAUCAUCUCCGAAAGAGUCCAUCACUCCAAGCCUUCACACCAGCCGUGCGAUGUAGCCUCCCCCAAACAGAACUCCAACUCCCUUCUAAUCGGAGAUGUGUCUGAACAAGCUCACCACCAAGUCCCCUAGAUGGACCUUCACCUCGUUCUCGAGGCAGUAGAAAAGCCACAAGUCCGUGGUGUUCACUACUCCUCCGUUGCUAGACUGCUUCCUAGCAGUGAUGGUGCGAAGGAAGAGGAGGUGAAGGAGCCUCAUCCUCGGAAU